GAUCAAAUCAGUUUCUGAAAAAUGUUCUGUUUUUUCUCCCUCUGCUUGCUUCUUUCUGUCUUUGAGGCUCGGGACCAGCACUCCUGUUGUUGGACAGAAAGACAUCAACUUGAGAUAUGACUGCACUAUGCUGUUGCUGUGACUCCAGUUAAUUCUACAAGACAUGCUGUGACAACAGGAGAGAUGAGUCCUCCAUCACAGAUGGUGUGGUCAGUGAAGAUGGUCGCCUGCAGGUUCAAGCUCAUUGCAUCUCCAACCCACAUCCACUGCCACUGU